UACGUAGGGUGCGAGCGUUGCCCGGAUUUAUUGGGCGUAAAGGGCGCGUAGGCGGCUCGGCACGUCCGUUGUGAAAUCGCCCGGCUCAACUGGGCGGGGUCGGCGGAUACGGCCGAGCUGGAGCAAGCUAGGGGGUAAUGGAAUUCCCGGUGUAGUGGUGGAAUGCGUAGAUAUCAGGAGGAACACCAGUGGCGAAGGCGGUUACCUGGAGCUUUGCUGACGCUGAUGCGCGAAAGCGUGGGGAGCGAUCCGG
rnacentral:rRNA from 1 species